AAUACAUGCGUCUAGAUGUGCAGUGCGAAGGGCGGAUGAGAUUGUGUCAGCGGGGUGCUCUUGACUUGCUGUGCAGGUGGGCCUUUGGGAGUCGAUUAUCAGCCUCCUCCCCCUAUCUUGAGCACGCUAGCUGGCAGGCUGGCUGGUGCCUGCCCUGCUCUGGGAAUUGGGGCUGAGCGGUAGCCGGAGAAUUGGGGGGAGGAGGGCACAACAGCCAGCAGGACAGGCAGCCUGCAAACGAGUAGGUGGACACAGAAAAGACGAGGGAGAGAGAACAGAGGCUGUGAAUAUUUACGGACCACGCAAGCCAAAUGAUCAGAAUGCGCCCGUCUCUCCAGGAUCCCAAAGCGCUUCACCCCUGGAGAGCAGCCCACCCGCCCUGGGAGAGACGAGGAACCGCGGCGUCAGCAGCCGAAUUCAGGGCCAGGUUAGUCGGCGCAGAAAACAUUAGCAGCGGUAGGCAAGAGAAAUGGAGAUGCCAAAACAGCUCCAGGACAGGAGGACAUCAGAGCCCCCACACAGAAACAAAAUGAGCCAAAGGGAUGCUGGGAGGCUUCAGCAAGGACUGCUGGGAAGGAAAGCCCCGCACUGAUACACUCGUGGACAGGUGAUCGGCAGAAGUUGAGGUAUUGACUUUCUCCCCAGCUGCGACCCAGGAGCGCUGUAUAAAUGGCUGACCCUGCGCUCUGACCCCCAGCUUCUCUCCCUGCCUGUGUGUCUCACGGAGAGCAAGCAGGAGUCUGCGAAAAGACAAAUUCCUAAUGCAAGAAAUUGUAUAUGGAUAAUAAAGUGACCUUAUCUUA